ACGGAAGGCAGCAGUGGGGAAUAUUGCACAAUGGGGGAAACCCUGAUGCAGCGACGCCGCGUGAGUGAAGAAGUUAUUCGUAAUGUAAAGCUCUAUCAGCAGGGAAGAAAAUGACGGUACCUGACUAAGAAGCCCCGGCUAACUACGUGCCAGCAGCCGCGGUAAUACGUAGGGGGCAAGCGUUAUCCGGAUUUACUGGGUGUAAAGGGAGCGUAGACGGUCUGGCAAGUCUGAUGUGAAGGGCAGGGGCUCAACUCCUGGACUGCAUUGGAAACUGUCAGUCUUGAGUGUCGGAGAGGUAAGCGGAAUUCCUAGUGUAGCGGUGAAAUGCGUAGAUAUUAGGAGGAACACCAGUGGCGAAGGCGGCUUACUGGACGAUAACUGACGUUGAGGCUCGAAAGCGUGGGGAGCAAACAGGAUUAGAUACCCUGGUA
rnacentral:rRNA from 1 species